UCACUCCCAUCCUCGCAAUAUGCACUCUC
rnacentral:sRNA from 1 species